GCUAGGGUGCAGGGGUGUUUCUAGGUGGCAUACCGAGAGCAGAAAGGCUUGCAGCUCAAGGGGAAGGAAGGAGGCGGCCAGCGACGGAAACGCUGCCUUCAGCCUCUUGUUACUCCCCUGCUUUGCAAAUUGAUCAGUCCGGUGGUGAUUUGAAUGGUUAGCUGUGCUGUCAGCUAUCUCCGCACUCCAGCUUUUCUCUCUCCUGGCAGGAACAUCUGGGACACAGACUUUACAAACGGGAAAGAAACUGACAGAGAAAAGGAAGCUUAAGGGGCAUGCCCAGAAAAGCAUGGACACUGGAGGUGAAGCAAGAAACGCCUUCCUUAGACAUCAUGCUCUGAAAGCAGCAGCACCCACUCUUCUGCCUGUGCAUAGGGUAUGGGAAAAUUCAUCAGAGCCUUUCAGAGCACACUGGGGCCAAAUCUUCCCAUUCCAAGCACACUUGUGUGAGUCCUGGAGCUUUGUUCCAUAGAUGUGUUUGAUCUGACUUUGUUUUCUCCUUCUCACAUACAAAAUAAAAGAAGAAUAAAUAAGAUGAAAAAAAUCCACCAAUAGAGAUAAAUGUUGGACAUAGUUCCCUUCAACUAAAGGCUUUCUUCAAAAGCUGGUGUCAAUGGAAUCAUUUCACAUCAACGGUUUGAAAAGAGAACUGUGCUCAAUAGGAACUGAAGCCAUGUGGUAUUGCCGAGCAGACAUUUGCUUAUUAAAUGUCUGAACACUAAUGAACUUUAUAUGCCCACCCCAAGAGUCUCUACCAAUUAGAGGGCUAUUUAUUUCUUUACUUAUUUUAUGGAGAAUAAAUGUCUGAGGUUUUCUUUCAUAAGGAGAAAUUGCAGCAGGUUUGACAAGAUGGGAUCUCUUAGAAGUUAUUUCAGUUUUUCUCGUUAUUUAAAGCAACACAUGAUUGGUGAUGUUCUAACCAUUAGAGAGAAGCAUAAGUUGUAUGAUUAUUGAUGUCAAUAAUUCAAAACUACCUAAUGUUAAUUAUCUAAGUACUUUCAGUGUAUCUCCCCAAAUUUCUAUGUACCUAAUUUUUCCUUUUUAUGGACUUUUCUUCUAUUACCACAUGCACAGUUCCUAAGGUUUCAUGGUAUUUUAAAAAUGCAAAACCAAGAAAUAUUUGUAGUGAUUUAUUUUAGUAGCCAUUGUAAUGAGAAGAAGAUAGAGCUUAAGUAAUUUUUUAAACACACUUUCAUAUUAAAUUUGUGAGGAGAAAAUAAAAGUAGAAUAUUGUGUUCUGCAAAGGUCAUAAGCAAGAGUCUCACGUGAAAGCAGCCACUCUGUCAAAGAGCUCCUCAAAGUGAAAGAGAGGCAUUUGUGUAUUUAGAUAAAAUAUUCUCUCUCAGUGAUUACCCAUUUGGAGAGUGUCUAUACACAGCAUAUGAGGUGAGCUUUAACUCCUUGUGAAUCAUUCAAAUGACGUUUGUCCAUUCUUUAGCUAUCUAAAUGUACAUCCUGAAGUCAGCUGGGAUUCCCAGGUAUGGAAUCACCAACAUAAAAUGGAUGCCUGGACCUGUUUUGAAUCUCACCAAAUCCCUGGCUCAUCCCCAUCUCCAUAUUUGCUUCUCUGUGCAAAUCAAAUGUAGAAUUUCCAGUCAUUGAGAUAUGUAUUUUACCUACUCGUGGCAUGUUCUAUAUUAUUGCAAAGUAAAGCUUUACAAAUAUAGUGUUUUAUUUUAAUCAUUUAAAAAAUAUGUGAUAGGUUUUGAGAGGUUGUCAACAUUGCAUUUUACCAAAAUAUUUCCCCAAAUUUGUAGCCAUUUCUCUACUUUUUAUAUAUUUAUAUCCUUCCUCAACUCUCUUGAUAAUUCAUAGCAGUUUUCUGGAAACCUCUAGAAUUUCUUUAGUUAGAAAAUGGAGUGAGUAUGUCACAAUUUUCAGUAAUGUGUCCCAGCUUUAAGAACAAUUCCCAAUGCGUUAUCUUAAAAUCUUUACAUGGAAUCUCAAACCUAUUUAGCCUUUUCAUUUUUUUCUAAUAAGCAAAGAAGAAAGAUCCAAAGGAAAAAUAUGGGCGUGCUUCUCCCUUUUGUUACCGCUGACCUGCUUGUCCCUGGGCCUUUCUCGAGAAGACAAAGAAAACUUCUCUCCCACCUCAUUAUAGACUGUCCCCUCCACACUAUCUCUCAAAUGCAUCAUUAAUGUGUCUUCUUUCAUCUGUAGCCUCAGACUAAAGGCAUGCCGAUUCAAGAGCUUUAGAAAUGGUCUGUUUCACAGAACUAGCUUUGGGUAUGUGGGUUGGUCAGUAGACUUCUUCAUAGACUAAGACAAGGCAGAGAUCAAGACCCAGGAAGUGCGUUCUUCCCUGUGGUGGCAGCGUCUCUGUCCAUUCACCUAAAAUGUUAUUUCCACGUUUCUAAUUUCUCCUUCUUAAGUUCUUUUAUAUCCUCAGCCACAGUCUCUAUUAUCAUACUGUGUACUCUGCCUGUUGUUCCCUGUUCCCAAACACAAGCCGUGGUAGGAUAGAGAGUGGUACCUGCCUUGUGCGCUUCUGUGCCACCCAAUCUUGAAUAGCAACAAGAACAUAAGAAAUAUUAUUUAGGUCCUUGCACAAAGUACAUCUUCAAAGUGGAACCCCAUAUAGCAGGGAAAAUCUACUGAUGACAAUUAAUUAUUUAAAAAUAUUAUUAUUUCAAGUCCUUUGAAGAUUUGUUUGACUGAUUCUACAGAUGUUUAGUCUAAGAUUGGGAGUUAUCAGUGAGUUGGAGACAUUGCUGUGAAAAAGAAUAGAAACAAUCUGACUGUGAAUUAUUAGUGAAUUGUAGAAGCUGCUGUGCAUAAUAGAAACAUGGAAAGUAAGAAAAGUGAAACACAUUUUUUUGUUAUUUUUUGAAGGUUUUGUUAAAGAUCUCAUAUUAAAAAAUAUCUGAAUACUAA